UACGUAGGUGGCAAGCGUUGUCCGGAAUUAUUGGGCGUAAAGCGCGCGCAGGCGGUUCUUUAAGUCCGUUGUGAAAGCCCUGGGCUCAACCUGGGAAUGGCAGUGGAUACUGGCGAGCUAGAGUGUGAUAGAGGAUGGUGGAAUUCCCGGUGUAGCGGUGAAAUGCGUAGAGAUCGGGAGGAACACCUGUGGCGAAAGCGGCGCACUGGACCACAACUGACGCUGAGGCGCGAAAGCUAGGGGAGCAAACAGG
rnacentral:rRNA from 1 species